rnacentral:rRNA from 1 species
GGAAUAUUGGUCAAUGGGCGAGAGCCUGAACCAGCCAUGCCGCGUGCAGGAUGACGGCCUUCUGGGUUGUAAACUGCUUUUCUACAGGAAGAGAAAGGUCAUGCGUGACAAAUUGCCGGUAUUGUAGGAAUAAGCACCGGCUAACUCCGUGCCAGCAGCCGCGGUAAUCCGGAGGGUGCAAGCGUUGGCCGGAUUUAUUGGGUUUAAAGGGUGCGUAGGCGGAAUUUUAAGUCAGUGGUGAAAGCCCACAGCUCAACUGUGGAACUGCCAUUGAUACUGGGAUUCUUGAAUUCAGUUAAGGUAGGCGGAAUUGAUGGUGUGGCGGUGAAAUGCAUAGAUACCAUCAGGAACACCGAUUGCGAAGGCAGCUUACUGGGCUUGAAUUGACGCUGAGGCACGAAAGCGUGGGGAGCG